rnacentral:rRNA from 1 species
UACGUAGGGUGCGAGCGUUGUCCGGAAUUACUGGGCGUAAAGGGCUCGUAGGCGGCCAACUAAGUCGGACGUGAAAUCCCUCAGCUUAACUGGGGAACUGCGUCCGAUACUGGAUGGCUUGGAUUUGGGGGAGGGAUGCGGAAUUCCAGGUGUAGCGGUGAAAUGCGCAGAUAUCAGGAAGAACACCCGUGGCGAAGGCGGUUCUCUGGGACGGUACUGACGCUGAGACGCGAAAGCGUGGGGAGCGAACAGG